CCCUCCUCUCUUCAUCAUCUCCGUCUGUUAUUACAGCGCGAGAUUAAUUCAAGAUUACUCCGAUUAUCAUGCCGGCUAAUCUAAUCUAAUCUAAUCUACUAGAUUUUUGGAUAUUUUUUUUCUGGUCAACUAUGAUUUUGGAUUUGCUUCCUCAUUCUGUACGGUUCUUCGCAAAAUUUGGGAAAAAAGUAAAAGUUUCUUACUUCUUGUGGAUGAUAAAUCGGCUGCCCUAUGAUGGAAAAGCAUCCUUUUCCGUUUUGUUGGGUCGAUUUCUCGGAAAGAUCGAGGGUUUUGCUCGGUUACUUGUUCUUAGCUUCUUACCUGGGACUCUUGUUCUGCAAAUCCAGAAAUCUAGGGUUCGCCCAAUCUUCCUUUCUCGAAAUCGGAUUCACUCUUGUAUCUGUCUGAGGCAUGACUGUCUUGUAUGGAGUAUGGGAUUGCAUUUUUCCUUCACAACAUUGGAAAUGCAACUCCAGUUGCAUGUAUUCCCUCGAGUCUGAGAAGAAUGUGGAGAAAGGCAGUAGGUCAAGAGAAUGUGUUGCUGAAUGCAGAGAUGAUGUACCUCGCUUAGUCUCUCACGUAUAAAAGUAGAACUGCCCAUUUUAUGGAUAUCGAAUCACCAAACAAGGAGGUCUCGAAGGAUUUGGCUCGUGAAUCGCUCAUCGCCAUAUCGAACUUGUUACCUGAUAAUGUUCUAGGCGAGGACGUCUCACUGCUCGAAAGCUUGAGCAACGGUAAUGGUGUUGCAGCAGUGAACAGUGACAUUACCGAGAAAUACAGGACGGAGCUGAUAUCAAUCUCGUAUGGGCAAUCCCCUGAUGCGAAACCGAAACCUGUUGCUCUUAAUCGUGAGGGUUAGAGACAGGAUUCCCUUAUGUCUUGAUGUUGUCUUGCACAAAGCUACUUUUGAUGUAAUGUAAAAUAACUCUCAUCCUGGGAUGGUUUUACUGAUGUUUUGUCUGCAAAACUAUACAGAUGUAUGGUAUGAUUAGUUUGAAAGACUGCAGAGGCAGGUACUCUUAUUUGCUUCGACCUUGUGCAUUACUCAU